UACAGAGGUCUCAAGCGUUGUUCGGAUUCAUUGGGCGUAAAGGGUGCGUAGGCGGCGCGGUAAGUCGGGUGUGAAAUUUCGAGGCUUAACUUCGAAACUGCAUUCGAUACUGCCGUGCUAGAGGACUGGAGAGGAGACGUGGAAUUUACGGUGUAGCGGUGAAAUGCGUAGAUAUCGUAAGGAAGACCAGUGGCGAAGGCGGGUCUCUGGACAGUUCCUGACGUGAGGAGCGAAAGCGUGGGGAGCAAACAGG
rnacentral:rRNA from 1 species